UUUCUUUAACGUGAAGGAAGAACUGGGAACCGCCUUUCAACCGCUCAAGCGACCAAAUAUUCGCUUGAGCCAACUUCAGAGCCAAACACUUAAAACCUUCUGUUGCUAGAUGGCUUGAGCAAACUUCUGAGCCAAGCAUUCAAUACCUUCUGUUGCAAGAUGGCUUGAGCAAACUUCUGAGCCAAGCACUAUUCUUUGAUGCUUUCUUAUGAUUCAAGCCUCUUUGAAGCAAAUCUUCAUUCCCAAUUCAUUCCUACAUCAAAAUUUGAUAAUUAACACUUAAAUUCUACAAGGACCUCUAGUAAACCAUAUCAUCACAAUUGAGGGUAAAUUUGAUAGUUAUUUCACAUUUCUAACCCUAAUAAGUGCCCAAGAAUGAUAUGAAAAUUAAGUAGAUUUGACACUUAUCAACUCCCCCCAACUUGAAACUUUGUUUGUCCUCAAACAAAUGGUACCGAUUAUCAAAAAACUAUAGACAAGGUUCAUUCAACAAGCAUGGUUCCAAAACACUACACACUGCAUGAUUUCCCUAUUUAUGAAAACAAACUUCUCUAAGAAAAUAUCAUGUGAUGCCCACAACAAUUUACCAAGAUCAUGAUACAAUAGCAUAUUCAACAUGAGAUUCUAAGAACAAUUUGAAUUUCCUACUUUUCAAUCAAGGAUUUACUCAACUUUUCAUCAGCUGAACAACUUCAAGAGAUCAAGGGCAAGUGUUUCACUCAAAUCAAUCAAUGAAUCACAUAAAUCAAACUUGCUACCUGUCUCAGUAAUCAUUAAACUGCAUGGUUAGUCCAGAAUCACAAAGGUCUUUCUAGGGUUGUAAUGGGGCUUGGUUUCAAAAGAAUAUUGGUUUUUCUGGAUAAUCAAACACUUUCUAGCUAAGAGAGCACAAAAUGUCAUGUAUCACAACUAAUAACCUUCCACUCUCUCCUCAACCAACUCUCUCUUUUGAUACCAUUUUCUUUUCAUUUGUAUCACACUUCACCCCUCUCAUUCCCUUUCAACCUCUCAAUCUUUCUUUUUGCUUUUUCAAUUCUUUAUAUACACUUUUUUUUUUCUUUUUCUUUUCCUUUUUUUUUCUUAUACACACAAGAUUGAGAAAUUGAUAAUUUCAAACCAAGAUGUUAAUAGCCUCCACUCCCCUCAACUUGCACACUUAUAUACAAUCUAAUCAUGCAUGCUCUCUCAACUUAGAAAGUAAGGAAGAGACAUUGUUUUUCUUUUAAGCUUGGGAUCAUAUGCAAGAAGCAAGAAUAUUUUUUUUAAAUUUUUGGCUCAAAUGGGGUAACCAAGAGAUUUCCUAAAUAAGGGUAGGUUAUAUGGCAUAGUAGUUAUUUACACUAAAGAACAAAAUGCCUUGGUCAUUUUCUUUCAUUCCCAUGCAAUUCCAAACAAUUAGAGACUCAAGCAAGUUCAGCUUUGUAAAACAAUGAUGAUUCUCUCUUCCUCUCAUCUCACUAGUGUUUAGUCACACUCCCUCGCAUGGCUUAGGUAUAUAUCCCUGAUUUCAAGCAUUUUCAAACAAAUUGAGCCUAUGACCUCAUGUGAAUGAUGCAUUAAUAUCAUGUCAUGGCAUCAUGUGAGUGCAAAACACAAUGAUCAUGGAUUUAAAACACAAAAUCAUGCUCAACUUGAAAGAUUUUUCAGAUCCCAUGCUCAUUUAUAAACCAAACCAGUACUAGCAAUUUCAUCAUUGGACAAACACAGAAAGAAAACAAAACUCAAAACCCAAGUAUCAACACACCAAAAGAACUAAACCAAGUACCAUCAAACCAAAAAGUAGCAUAGUCUAAAACAACUACUAAAACCAACAUCAAACUAAGAUAAAGUACUAAAACUGAAAUAAAAUGACAGAAUUAUAAAAUGAACACUGUAUGGCGUGCAUCAGCUCUAUCAAUCAUCCAUGAGUUGCAUCAGCUCCAUCUCCAUCAGCUAAACCAGCACCAGCUCUAUCAGCACCAUGCCUCUCUCCCUCCUCUGGACGUGGACUGUCCUCAGGCCAUCUGACAUAUAACUGAUCCUGCAUAGCACUACGCAACUGAUUCAAUGCCAAAACCAUGUCAUCCUGUUUAGCAUGCAGCUCUUCUACUCUAGUACACAUUUUCUCCUGUCUAUCAAACAUCUCUCCAUUUUGCUUGAGCAGCCGCUCCACAAGUUCUUUCAUUGCUUGCAUCGGAUCCUCGAUACUUGUAGUAGCUGACUGAUUAGGUGGUGGUGGUGGUGCUCUCCUUCUAGAUUGGCUUCCCUGUGCUGCUUCAACGACCACCUCUUCUGCUUCAUUAGUGCAAUUACGGGCAAUGUACUUUGCAUUGAUUGGCGGUUUCAACUUUUCCUUUGGGACUCUCGGAAUAAGAACUCCAUGUGCCUUGCAUAACUGAGUAAUGAGAGAUGGAAAAGGCAAAGCAGUGGUGGUCUUUUCCAACUUGGCAGCUUUUAAAAUUUCAUCAGAUAUUAUUUGAGCGACAUCCAUUGAGAGUCCCUUCAUGAUGGUCCAAACUAUAUAUGCAUCUUUCAAAGCAAGACUGGAGACAUGAAAGGAGGGACUGAUGUUGUGCAACACAAAACUCAUCCAAAUUUGAGCGCGGGUGGUCAUCCGUGAGCGAAAAAUGUGGCUGCCUAUUGAAUGCCGACCUGGUAUACAUAAGUCCUUGUGGAUCGAACCAUUUGCGAAUCCACCAGAUCCAUUGAUAGGAAAAUUUUUCCUCUUUUGAUAUUCACACAACUGAUCACCUUCCAAUUCUAGAGGCUUCCCCAAAUAGUUGUUGAUAGUGUCUCUGUCAAAUGGUACCUUUAUAUUGCCAAUCUUGGAUUCCCUCUUGUGCUUUGAUUGAUUUGGAUCAUAAGCAUAUAAAUAGAACUCACGUACAAUAUUUGGAUUGUACUCUUGAGGCGGUGAGGCAAGCUUUAGCCACUCCCUCUUCACUAACUCAGCCCUGAAUUCUUCUUCAUACUCACCCUCUGCAAGCUCCACUGCCUUCUCCCCCUUGAAUGACUUGGCUUCUAUUUUUUUUCGUCUUUCAUCAAGGAUAGAGUUGUCUACGCUCCUAACAAGUUCCUCUCCAUUUUCUUCUUCAGAGGCAUCCGAUUCAGAUUCAGCUUCAUACUCAGUUGCAGAUUCAGAUGAUGGUUCAGGUGGUGGUUGAGCUUGCUUUCUCUUCUUGUUAUUCAAGUUGACAUUCAAAUUUCUUGUUCGGGGUGCCAUCUUGUUCUUGGUGAGAGUGGGACGUGGGUGAGCACGAGGGUGGAGAGAGGGCGAGAAAUUGAGAGGGAGAACGAGGGUUGAGGGCUGAAGCACAAUCGUAAUCGGUGCCUCUGUGUUAUGUCUCUUUUUUUUUUCUUUUUAUAGGCGUUAUGAUGGCUUAAGCCGUCAUUAGUUCGCUCGAGCGAACUUUGCUUGGCCCAGACCUUGGCUUAAGCAAUCCUUUUCCAGUAGAAAAUGUAAUUUCUUAGGUAGAGUUCGCUCAAAGCUUCGCCCAAGCAAACACUUUACAGUUUUAAAACAGAAGCAGAUUUUCACUGGAACUCAGAAUUUUGCCAAUUUUUUUUUUCUUUUUCAAAACUUUCACAACUAAAAUUCAUAAUACUUACCUUGACUAUUUUCCAUGAAUCCCUCAAUGCUGCACCCUUCAAUUCAGACCUGUUACGCACUCAAUUUCAAUUAGUUACUAGCCAAAAUCAUGAGAUUCACAAGGAAAAAGCUUAAUUCAUAAGCAACUGUGAAUUUUCAACAAGUGCAUGUCUCCAAUUCAGUUUCAAUGAUGUUGAAUAUCUUUCUCAUGGUCAAACCACUUUAUAUGCUUGCAAGAAACUUGUAUGGAUCCAACAUUCAUGCAAAAAAUCACAGGUUUUGCAAAACUCACUUUACAUGCUCUUUUAACAGCUUUUUCCACAACUCAACACCUUAGAUUUUGUAUCUCUCACUUUUCCUGCUUUCUAAACACUCCUACCCUCUAGUUAGGCCAUUUAAAACUUGUGGAAACCUUUGAAAUACACAAUUGAGUAAAAAUCAUUCUUUCUUUUCUUAGGAUUUGAAAACUUGUUCACUUUGAAAAGUUACCCAUCCAUUGCAUCUCAAAAUCAUCAAGUUCACUUUAAAAUUGUCCUAAUGCCUAACAUAUAAUCAUUUAAGUGCACAAUUGAGCAUGAUCAAUGAAAUCUCUACUGUUUAUGCAGAAUAUGGCUCAAAGGGACUAAUUUUUCACCUGAUGCUCACAACCUCAUACCCCAAAUUUUGCAAAAUGCUCAUAUCAUACAAACCAAUCAUUCAUAUACCUGUCAAAUCACUAUUUGGACAUGUUACAAUUCUUAAAUGCAGAUUUUGACAAAUUUUUGACUGUGUCCAAAUUUCAUCCAAGCUCUCAAGCAAAACAUAAGUUACAACUGUAUAUUUGCAAAAACUUCAAGUUAUUGACUCCUAGACCUUUAAACAUACUCAAUAUGAUAAUCAAAAACUGUGAAGCACAUGAAAGCACAUAUUUAAAUGAAACUUCACAAAAUCACUGUAUCACUUACUAAAAUAGCUAAAAAUCUAAAUAAACACUGGGUUGCCUCCCAUGAAGCGCUUGUUUAACGUCGUUAGCUCGACGCCUGUAUAGUCUCAAAGUUCCUUGAAGGAAAGAACAGUGGUGAGUCUAUCCACGUCACCACCCAAGUAAGGUUUUAGCCUCUGACCAUUAACUACCCAAGUCCUUGUGGAUUCAGGAUCUUCCAACUCAAUUGCUCCAUAAGGCUUAACAUCCUUGACCACAAAGGGGCCUGACCAUUUGGUUUUAAGCUUUCCAGGGAACAUCUUCAACCUGGAAUUAAAUAAAAGUACCUGUUGGCCUGGUCUGAAGUCUUUCUUAAUGAUCUUGCUAUCAUGGUACUUUUUCAUCUUUUCCUUAUAUAAUUUAGAAGAAUCAUAGGCUUGGAGCCUUAAUUCCUCCAUCUGAUGCAACUGGUUCUUCCUAUGCUCACCUGCAAGAUUCAAAUCAAAAUUAAGGUACUUAAGAGCCCAAUAAGCUUUAUGCUCCAAUUCAACUGGUAAAUGGCAAGAUUUACCAUAGACCAAUUGAAAAGGAGUUAGGCCUAUUGGUGACUUAUAAGCAGUUCUAUAUGCCCACAGAGCAUCAUCUAGCUUCUGAGACCAGUCCUUUCUAGAGCUUGACACAGUCUUCUCUAGAAUUUUCUUGAUUUCUCUGUUAGAUACCUCAGCUUGCCCAUUGGUCUGUGGAUGAUAAGGUGAUGCUACCUUAUGCCUAACACCAUAAUGCUCCAAUGCCUUAGCUAGCUGAGAAUUCACAAAAUGAGAACCUCCAUCACUGAUAAUCACCCUUGGUGCUCCAAAGCGGCUGAAAAUGUUCUUCUUCAAGAAUUUGAUCACUGUUUUGCCAUCAGCCUUGGGAGUCGCCACUGCUUCCACCCAUCUAGAAACAUACUCGACAGCUACCAAGAUAUACUCAUUCGAAAAUGAAGAUGGGAAGGGUCCCAUGAAGUCCAUACCCCAGCAAUCAAAAACCUCAACUUCUAAGAUACUCUGCAGGGGCAUUUCAUUUCUUUUACUUAUUCCUCCUGACCUCUGGCAUUCAUCACAUCUCUGAACAUGAAAAUAAGCAUCCUUGAAGAGGGUAGGCCAAUAAAAACCAGAUUGAAGGACCUUUACCGCAGUCCUUUCUCCAUUGUAAUGACCUCCGUAAGCAGAGUUAUGACAGUGUCUGAGAAUAUCCUUGGCUUCAUUUGAAGCUACACACCUUCUCAACAGACCAUCAGCUCCCAUCUUAAAGAGAUAAGGAUCAUCCCACACAAAUUGAGUUGCAUCUCUGAGAAACUUCUUUUUCUGGUGAAAAUUGAACUCUGGAAUCACACCUGUAGCUUUGAAAUUGGCCAUAUCAGCAAACCAUGGCCUCUCCUGAACUAAAAACAAUUUUUCAUCAGGAAAUGCAUCUGCUAUCUCAUCUUCUUUUGCGGUCACCUCAUCAUUCACCAACCUUGAUAAGUGAUCAGCUACUAGGUUCUCCUUGCCACUCUUGUCUUUGAUUACCAAAUCAAAUUCCUGCAAUAAGAGAAUCCAUCGGAGCAAUCUAGGUUUGGAAUCAGGUUUUGUCAGAAGAUACUUGAUAGCUGCAUGAUCAGUGAAAAUAAUAACUUUUGAGCCUAUCAAGUAACUUCUGAACUUCUCAAGUGCAUACACUAUGGCUAGCAAUUCUUUCUCAGUGGUAGCAUAGUUUAUCUGAGCCUCAUUUAAAACCUUGCUAGCAUAGUGAAUUGCAUGAAAAACCUUAUCCUUUCUCUGACCUAAAACUGCUCCAACUGCAUAAUCACUAGCAUCACACAUUAAUUCAAAAUCAAGAUUCCAAUUAGGUGCAAUAAUAAUAGGAGCAGAUAUCAAACUUUGUUUCAAUUUUUCAAAAGCUUCUAAACAAGAAUUAUCAAAGAGAAAAGAGGUAUCCUUAUUCAAGAGAUUACUCAAUGGCUUGGCAAUUUUGGAGAAGUCCUUAAUGAAGCGUCUAUAAAACCCGGCGUGUCCAAGAAAACUCCUGAUGCCUUUGACAUUUGUUGGUGCUGGUAGCUUCUCAAUAACCUCCACUUUUGCUUUGUCCACUUCAAUUCCUCUUGAUGAGAUUUUGUGCCCAAGAACAAUUCCUUCCGUCACCAUGAAGUGACACUUUUCCCAGUUUAGAACCAGAUUUGUUUCCACACACCGCUUCAGCACGGUGUCCAAGUUUUCCAAGCAUAAAUCAAAGGAAGCACCAAAUACAGAGAAGUCAUCCAUGAAAACCUCAAUGAUCUUCUCCACCAAAUCUGAAAAUAUUGCAAGCAUGCAUCUCUGAAAGGUUGCUGGAGCAUUACACAAUCCAAAUGGCAUUUUCCUAUAAGCAAAAACACCAAAGGGACAUGUGAAAGCUGUUUUCUCCUGGUCUUCUGGAUUGACUGUAAUUUGAUUGUAGCCCGAGUAUCCAUCAAGAAAGCAAUAGAAUGCCUGCCCAGACAAUCUCUCCAACAUCUGAUCCAUGAAUGGUAAUGGGAAAUGGUCCUUUCUUGUGGCCUUGUUCAGCUUUCUGUAGUCAAUACACAUUCUCCAACCUGUGACUGUUCUUGUCGGAAUUAGCUCAUUCUUGUCAUUAGUAAUCACAGUCAUGCCUCCUUUCUUUGGAACUACUUGCACUGGACUUACCCAAGAACUGUCAGAAAUAGGAUAAAUCAUACCUGCAUCUAGCAGUUUCACCACUUCCUUUCUGACUACUUCUUUCAUGGUUGGAUUCAAUCUUCUCUGUGGUUGUGCUACAGGCUUGAAAUCAUCCUCCAUCAUGAUCUUGUGCAUGCAGUAAGAAGGACUAAUGCCUUUAAGAUCAGAUAAGGUCCAACCUAUAGCUUCUUGAUUUGCUUUGAUAACUUCAAUCAGCUUCCCCUCCUCCUCUGGUGAUAGAGAACUGCUAAUGAUCACUGGCUUACCUGUUUCACCCUGCAAAAACACAUAUUUUAAAUGAGCAGGUAAGAGUUUCAGCUCCGUCUUCUGAUCAUCUUUCUUUGUAUCAGAUUCCACUAGUUCCUCUUUCUUGAUAUUCUCCACUACCACUUUAUCAGAGGGUAUUUCCUUGAGAAGAUUAAGUUCUUGCACACACUUCUCGAUUUCUUUUUCCUCCAGUUCAUUGAAUUGUGAGCAACAGCACAUGUUGAUGAGAGCUACCUCCAAAGGAUCAAACACACAAGGCUUCUUAUCAGCUUCUCUGCAAACUUCUUCAAUUGCAUCAAUUUUGAAACAUUGUCCUUUGUCUUUUGGAUGUUGUAUGGCCUCAUAGAGAUCAAAUUGAACUUCAUCAUCUUGGACUCUCACUUUCAGCUUCCCAAUGUCCAUGUCUAUUGCCAUUCUUGCUGUCCUCAUGAAGGGUCUCCCCAGGAUGAUUGGAACUUCUUCAUCCUCUGGAAUAUCAAUAAUAGCAAAGUCAGCGGGAAUUAAAAAUUUAUCAACUCUUACCAGUACAUCCUCUGCUAUGCCAACUGGAUAUUUGAUUGAUCUGUCUGCAAGCUGUAAGGACAUCCUGGUUGGUCUAAGCUCCAUACCACCUGCUUUCUUCAUUAUGGAAAGUGGCAUAAGACUUAUACUGGCUCCCAAAUCAAUCAGAGCUUUUCCCACUGCUAAAGUACCAAUAGUCACUGGAAUUGUUACAUUUCCAGGAUCAUCCAUCUUCUCAGGUAUGAAAUGCUGAAUAAAGGAACUGCAAUGAGCUCCCAAGUGAACAACUUCUUCAUCCUGAAACUUUCUCUUCUUUGUCAGCAACUCUUUCAUGAAUUUUGCAUAUGUUGGCAUUUGCUCCAAAGCCUCUGCAAAUGGAAUGUUGAUUUGAAGCCUUUUGAAGAUAUCCAUGAACCUAGUGAAUUGCCUUUCCUUGUCCGCCUUGGUAGGAGCAUGUGGAUAAGGAAGUCUCUUCUCAAGUGGGGGUUUUUGGAUAACUUUCUCUUUGUCUUUAAAUGCAUUCUCUUUUCCUCCCACCUUUCUUUUCUCUCCACUAUCACCUACCUUUUCCUCACAUUUUUCUUUUGUUUUCUCUUCAUCACUCUUUUCUUGCCUAUUUACACUAUCACUCUUAUUUUUCAACACCUCCCUCUCAAUCUCCUCAUUAUCACUCAUUUUCUCUUUCUCUUCACCUCUAUCAUUUUUUUCACUCACUACCUCAUCAAUAUCUCUACCAACCGCCUUUCCGCUCCUUGUGAAGAUCGCAUUGCACUUCUGAUUUGGAUUAGGUUCAGUAUUUGCAGUGAAUUUUCCUUUCUGAUUCUCUGCCAUCUGCUUAGCCAUUUGGCCCAUUUGGAUCUCCAAAUUUUUAAUAGAAGCUUCUGUGUUCUUCUGAUUGGUCAUAGUCAUCUGCAUGAACUGAUUCAUUGUAUCUUCUAAUGUUGGAUUCCUGCUCUGUGGCGGCUGUUGGUAUGACUGAUUCUGGUAAGGUGGUGGUGCCCUGCUGGUGGAAGGCCCUGCAUCUUGCCUCCAAGGUUGGUUGUAUUGUUGAUUACCUCCCCUGGGAUAGUUGUUCUGGUACCCUUGCCUCUGCUGGUUUCCUAGGUAGUGAACCUCCUCUUCCUGUAAUUGACAGUAUUCUGUUGGAUGAUCCUUAGUACACACAUCACACCUGUUCACCUGCUUCCUGGAAGAAGAAUCUUGCAUCUCCCGAAGUUGUUUGGGAAGAUCACUCAGAGUCUUUUUCACUUCAUCCAGUUGUUGCUGCAGUUGCUUGUUUUGGGCCAAGAUAGCAUCACUUGAUCCCAAUUCCAGAACGCCUCCUCUCCUUGGUGGUCCUCUAAUAUGUUGAUCUUGGUGGUCAUUUAGAGCCAUAGCCUCAAUGAUCCGAAUGGCCUCAGUUGGAGACUUUGUCAUCAAAGAACCUCCUGAAGUUGCAUCCACCAUUAUCCUGCUCUGUUGUUGAAGACCUUUUCUGAAAAGAUGGAUUUGCGUCUUGGCAUCAAAGUCAUGAUUCGGGCACCUUCUCAGCAUGGAUUUGUAUCUUUCCCAAGCUUCACGCAAACUUUCACCUGUACUUUGGGAAAAAGUAGAAAUAGCAGUUCUACAAUCCAUAUAUUUUGAUUCAGAAAAGUACCUGGUCAUGAAUUUCUUUUCCAAUUCAUUCCAAUCAGCUAAAGUUGUCUGUGGUUGAUCCAAGAAUCAAUCCUUUGCUUGCCCAAUCAAAGUUAAAGGGAAGAGCCUCAGAAAUACAGCUUCUUCCUCAGCUUGGCUAAUUCCAGCAGUACAACAAAGUUCAUAAAACUUUGUCAGAUGAGUGUAAGGAUUCUCAUGAUCCAAGCCAGCGAAAGGAUUAACAUACAUCAGCUGUACCAAUCCAGUCUUCACUUCAGGUGGCCUAGCAGCACCUGCAGGCCUACCAAUCCUGGUUAUGUUCCUUGGAGUGAAGUUCACAAAUCCUACAUUUGUAUCCUCAUUUCCACCACCAACUGGUUCUGCAGCCAUGGUCUCUGUCUGUUGUCUUACUGAAGAGAUUGAGGAAGACAAUGCUUCUUGCUCCCUCCUUUGCUCAGAUAAUUGUUUUCUCCUCCUUGUCUUGCUAUUGUUUCUCCUAGCUGUAGCUUCAAUCUCUGGAUCGAACAAUAGUUGAUCAGCUGGAGUUUUACCUCGCAUAAACAAAGUGAAAAUACAACCUAGCCAAGAAAGUCAGUCAACAAGAUAAUAAAAAGAUAAAAUAAAACUAUAUANNNNNNNNNNNNNNNNNNNNNNNNNNNNNNNNNNNNNNNNNNNNNNNNNNNNNNNNNNNNNNNNNNNNNNNNNNNNNNNNNNNNNNNNNNNNNNNNNNNNAAGGGUUUAGCAAUCCAUUUCCAUGGAUGCUUUAAGGCUUACAAAGAGAAACAAGAAGAUGAUGAUGAUCCGUGAUGUCCGCCGAGCGUUCCCACGUCGAUGGAUGAUCAAAGAGGUCCAAACUAUCUUCUUCACCUUUGUUCUACGAGUUCUGUAGUCUUUUUUCCUAAUUUUUCCGCUGUCCCUGUAAAAUACGAUGGUGGGUUCUUUUUAUAACAGCUUUGUUCGCUCAAGCGGUCCAAAGUUCGCUCAAGCGAACUCUUUCUUUAACGUGAAGGAAGAACUGGGAACCGCCUUUCAACCGCUCAAGCGACCAAAUAUUCGCUUGAGCCAACUUCAGAGCCAAACACUUAAAACCUUCUGUUGCUAGAUGGCUUGAGCAAACUUCUGAGCCAAGCAUUCAAUACCUUCUGUUGCAAGAUGGCUUGAGCAAACUUCUGAGCCAAGCACUAUUCUUUGAUGCUUUCUUAUGAUUCAAGCCUCUUUGAAGCAAAUCUUCAUUCCCAAUUCAUUCCUACAUCAAAAUUUGAUAAUUAACACUUAAAUUCUACAAGGACCUCUAGUAAACCAUAUCAUCACAAUUGAGGGUAAAUUUGAUAGUUAUUUCACAUUUCUAACCCUAAUAAGUGCCCAAGAAUGAUAUGAAAAUUAAGUAGAUUUGACACUUAU
rnacentral:lncRNA from 1 species